UCGGGAAUUUUGGGCAAUGGGCGAAAGCCUGACCCAGCAACGCCGCGUGAGGGAUGAAGUAUUUCGGUAUGUAAACCUCGAAAGAAUGGGAGAAUAAAUGACGGUACCAUUUAUAAGCUCCGGCUAACUACGUGCCAGCAGCCGCGGUAAUACGUAGGGAGCAAGCGUUGUUCGGAUUUACUGGGCGUAAAGGGCGCGUAGGCGGCGCGGUAAGUCACUUGUGAAAUCUCUGAGCUUAACUCAGAACGGCCAAGUGAUACUGCUGUGCUAGAGUGCGGAAGAGGCAACCGGAAUUCUUGGUGUAGCGGUGAAAUGCGUAGAUAUCAAGAGGAACACCUGAGGCGAAGGCGGGUUGCUGGGCCGACACUUACGCUGAUGCGCGAAAGCCAGG
rnacentral:rRNA from 1 species